rnacentral:rRNA from 1 species
GACGAACGCUGGCGGCGUGCUUAACACAUGCAAGUCGAACGGAAAGGCCCCCUUGUGGGGUACUCGAGUGGCGAACGGGUGAGUAACACGUGAGUAACCUACCCUUGACUUUGGGAUAACUUCAGGAAACUGGGGCUAAUACCGGAUAGGAGCUCCUGCUGCAUGGUGGGGGUUGGAAAGUUUCGGCGGUUGGGGAUGGACUCGCGGCUUAUCAGCUUGUUGGUGGGGUAGUGGCUCACCAAGGCUUUGACGGGAAGCCGGCCUGAGAGGGUGACCGGCCACAUUGGGACUGAGAUACGGCCCAGACUCCUACGGGAGGCAGCAGUGGGGAAUAUUGCACAAUGGGCGGAAGCCUGAUGCAGCAACGCCGCGUGCGGGAUGACGGCCUUCGGGUUGUAAACCGCUUUCGCCUGUGACGAAGCGUGAGUGACGGUAAUGGGUAAAGAAGCACCGGCUAACUACGUG